GGGCGGUUAGCUCAGUUGGCUAGAGCGCCGGCUCGACAAGCCGGAGGUCACUGGUUCGAGCCCAGUACCGCCCA
rnacentral:tRNA from 1 species